ensembl:lncRNA
UGCUACAACCUAAACUGGCCAUUAUCUGUUGCUGGGUCUCCCAGGCUCCCCAGCCCAGGUAUGAGGGGCAUGUAGCUCUCCAAAUGUAGUGGGGUUCAAAUUCUUCACCAUUGAUUAUACCGGCUUAUAAUGUAACAAUUUGGGUGAGUAUUAUACAUGGCCCACUCUUGCCCUAAGUCAUUAGUGAAUGUUUGCCUCUUUCAUAGACCUACUAAGCUAAUUUUGCAGUGUAAUAUAACAGAGAUUAUGACAAAAUAAAAAAACUGCAUGAUUUAAUUGCAUUCUUUGUACAGGUAACAUUAUGACUGUCAGGCGUUAUUCCAUUUCCUCUUCUGUGCCUUCAUACUCUGGCAAUAAACAUCAUAAACCUGACAAGAGGAAUCCAUUGAAAGGAGCCCUUGAAGUGAAGGGCAUUAUCAAACCACCAGCCUUUCCCGCAGAUGUGCAACUAAACAACAAAGAAGAGAAAGGGUGCACAAAAAUCCCUGCUGAUUGCCUUUCCAGCAACACUUCUAAUAAAAGGAGAUCUUUUCAAGACCAUGUCUACAAAUGCAGGGGCAAAGUAAAGGCUGUCAGUUUCUUGUUACCCGUGGAUGUGUCAUCUUGUUCGGAAAAUCAAGGUUCUUUCACAUGCCCACAAAAUGAGGACACAAAACAGUUAAGCACCAUUAUUGAAAAGGACAUGUGAGUUGGUGAAUUUUUUAAGGGGCCAUUCCUGACUCCAGAGGUAAACUAGCCUGAAGAAACAGCACCACAUAGGAUUUUAUUUCUGUUAAGUGCUUUGACAGAAUGCCUUCAGAGAAUUACCCAGGCAGUGUUUCAGGUCAUUGAAUGAUUCUUUAGCAAGGAGAUUAAAAAAAAACUCUUGGAGAAACCAUUAAAAACCUAUGCAAUGAUAACAGAUGGCUUUCCACUGUGUGUGAAUAUAUGUAUAUACUAUAUAUAGCUAUAUAUCUAUCUAUAAAUCUAUGAAACCAGCUCAAAGACUGAAUUAAACAGAAUUAAACAGCUUUAAUAUAACUGAUUUCACUGCUGUCUUUUUAUGAGAGCACUCAAAAUAACAUCUCUUUAAUGCCUGAGAUGCCAGAAAAUGUGUAAAGAAAAUUAUUGUCUGUUAUGAAACUGUAAACUGUGCAAAAGAAAUACAGGGUUACAUCUGGCUAGUUAUCUAGUAAUGUGAUUGUGUCUCUUUUCAUGUAGCCUACAGCAACAUUCUAGCAAAUGAAUAGACACUAAGAUACAGCAAAUGUAAACUAUAUCCAGAUGUUGGUUUAUUAACACUGAACAGGCUAAACGCUUAUAGCUUGUAUAUCACAUGUAUUGUCUUCAAAAUGCCUGCUCCUCAUUCAUGAAAUGAGCCAGUGCACAUAUUAUAUGAGUGGACUUUAGAGAUACUGUAAGCAUGAACUUCAGUUUAUCAAAGUGCUGAACUAUGGCAAAUGUUAAACAAAAAAGAGGAAAGUCUGAAACUCAACAAAACUUGGCUCCCAGCUCUCAAAAAUACAGCGUGCUAAAGGUCAAUGAACUCUACCCAGCCACAAGGUCAGGGGAUCACUACACACAAAAGACCCAUCAACCACAGUGACAGAUAAUCUCUCCUUCUUAUCACAACAAUACACCCACAACAAGACACACUAAUCACCCAUUUACAGAAAAAGACAAAAGCCCAUCUCACAGCCAUAAAUACU